rnacentral:rRNA from 1 species
AUACGGAGGAUGCGAGCGUUAUCCGGAUUUAUUGGGUUUAAAGGGUGCGUAGGCGGGCUGUUAAGCGUGAGGUGAAAGCUCGGGGCUCAACCCCGGAACUGCCUCGCGAACUGGCGGUCUUGGAUGUCCGUGCCGCGGGAGGAAUGUGCGGUGUAGUGGGUAAAUUCAUAGAGAGCACCCAGAACAACGAUUGCGAAGGCAUCUCACGAACGGAUGAUUGACGCUGAGGCACGAAAGCGUGGGGAUCAAACAGGAUUAGAUACCCUGGUAGUCCACGCAGUAAACGAUGAUAACUAACCGCUGGUAAGUAAUUAUCAGUGGCCAAGCGAAAGCGAUAAGUUAUCCACCUGGGGAGUACGACCGCAAGGUUGAAACUCAAAUGAAUUGGCGGGG